GCCGGUGUAGCUCAGUGGUAGAGCAGCGCAUUCGUAAUGCGCGGGUCAGCGGUUCAAAUCCGCUCACCGGCUCCA
rnacentral:tRNA from 1 species